rnacentral:rRNA from 1 species
AGAGUUUGAUCCUGGCUCAGGAUGAACGCUAGCUACAGGCUUAACACAUGCAAGUCGAGGGGCAGCAUGAACUUAGCUUGCUAAGUUUGAUGGCGACCGGCGCACGGGUGAGUAACACGUAUCCAACCUGCCGAUGACUCGGGGAUAGCCUUUCGAAAGAAAGAUUAAUACCCGAUGGCAUAGUUCUUCCGCAUGGUGGAACUAUUAAAGAAUUUCGGUCAUCGAUGGGGAUGCGUUCCAUUAGGUUGUUGGCGGGGUAACGGCCCACCAAGCCUUCGAUGGAUAGGGGUUCUGAGAGGAAGGUCCCCCACAUUGGAACUGAGACACGGUCCAAACUCCUACGGGAGGCAGCAGUGAGGAAUAUUGGUCAAUGGACGAGAGUCUGAACCAGCCAAGUAGCGUGAAGGAUGACUGCCCUAUGGGUUGUAAACUUCUUUUAUAUGGGAAUAAAGUGUUCCACGUGUGGAAUUUUGUAUGUACCAUAUGAAUAAGGAUCGGCUAACUCCGUGCCAGCAGCCGCGGUAAUACGGAGGAUCCGAGCGUUAUCCGGAUUUAUUGGGUUUAAAGGGAGCGUAGGCGGACGCUUAAGUCAGUUGUGAAAGUUUGCGGCUCAACCGUAAAAUUGCAGUUGAUACUGGGUGUCUUGAGUACAGUAGAGGCAGGCGGAAUUCGUGGUGUAGCGGUGAAAUGCUUAGAUAUCACGAAGAACUCCGAUUGCGAAGGCAGCCUGCUGGACUGUAACUGACGCUGAUGCUCGAAAGUGUGGGUAUCAAACAGGAUUAGAUACCCUGGUAGUCCACACAGUAAACGAUGAAUACUCGCUGUUUGCGAUAUACAGUAAGCGGCCAAGCGAAAGCGUUAAGUAUUCCACCUGGGGAGUACGCCGGCAACGGUGAAACUCAAAGGAAUUGACGGGGGCCCGCACAAGCGGAGGAACAUGUGGUUUAA